AGAGUUUGAUCCUGGCUCAGAUUGAACGCUGGCGGCAUGCUUUACACAUGCAAGUCGAACGGUAACGCGGACUUCGGUCUGGCGACGAGUGGCGAACGGGUGAGUAAUGCAUCGGAACGUAUCCAUUUGUGGGGGAUAGCCCGGCGAAAGCCGGAUUAAUACCGCAUAAUCUCUGAGGAGGAAAGUGGGGGACCUUCGGGCCUUACGCUGAUGGAGCGGCUGAUGUCGGAUUAGCUAGUUGGUAGGGUAAAGGCCUACCAAGGCGACGAUCCGUAGCUGGUCUGAGAGGACGACCAGCCACACUGGAACUGAGACACGGUCCAGACUCCUACGGGAGGCAGCAGUGGGGAAUUUUGGACAAUGGGGGCAACCCUGAUCCAGCCAUUCCGCGUGAGUGAAGAAGGCCUUCGGGUUGUAAAGCUCUUUCGCAAGAGAAGAAAACUUACUAUCUAAUAAAUAGUAAGUAUGACGGUAUCUUGACAAGAAGCACCGGCUAACUACGUGCCAGCAGCCGCGGUAAUACGUAGGGUGCAAGCGUUAAUCGGAAUUACUGGGCGUAAAGCGUGCGCAGGCAGUUUUAUAAGUCAGAUGUGAAAUCCCCGAGCUCAACUUGGGAACUGCGUUUGAAACUGUAAGACUAGAGUGUGUCAGAGGGGGGUAGAAUUCCAAGUGUAGCAGUGAAAUGCGUAGAGAUUUGGAGGAAUACCAAUGGCGAAGGCAGCCCCCUGGGAUAACACUGACGCUCAUGCACGAAAGCGUGGGGAGCAAACAGGAUUAGAUACCCUGGUAGUCCACGCCCUAAACGAUGUCUACUAGUUGUUGGUGGAGUAAAAUCCAUGAGUAACGCAGCUAACGCGUGAAGUAGACCGCCUGGGGAGUACGGUCGCAAGAUUAAAACUCAAAUGAAUUGACGGGGGCC
rnacentral:rRNA from 1 species